UAGCCUAUGAGCUGGCUAGGUUUGCGUGC
rnacentral:piRNA from 1 species